GAUGAACGCUGGCGGCGUGACUAAUACAUGCAAGUCGAGCGAACGGACGAGAAGCUUGCUUCUCUGAUGUUAGCGGCGGACGGGUGAGUAACACGUGGAUAACCUACCUAUAAGACUGGGAUAACUUCGGGAAACCGGAGCUAAUACCGGAUGAUAUUUUGAACCGCAUGGUUCAAAAGUGAAAGACGGUCUUGCUGUCACUUAUAGAUGGAUCCGCGCUGCAUUAGCUAGUUGGUAAGGUAACGGCUUACCAAGGCAACGAUGCAUAGCCGACCUGAGAGGGUGAUCGGCCACACUGGAACUGAGACACGGUCCAGACUCCUACGGGAGGCAGCAGUAGGGAAUCUUCCGCAAUGGGCGAAAGCCUGACGGAGCAACGCCGCGUGAGUGAUGAAGGUCUUCGGAUCGUAAAACUCUGUUAUUAGGGAAGAACAUAUGUGUAAGUAACUGUGCACAUCUUGACGGUACCUAAUCAGAAAGCCACGGCUAACUACGUG
rnacentral:rRNA from 1 species